CACCCCCACCUCAGCUCAUUCAUCUCACUCACCAGUUGUUGCCUGGUUGGUGAAUACCCACAAUUCUUCUACCUUAAGAUAAUUCCAUAAAUUUCAUAGUUCUAGAUCUUCGUUUUUUGUAAUCAAUUGCAUACCCACCAACUGUUUGUAUAAUUGUUUAAGAGAGAGAGAGUUGUCGUUCGUUUGGAUUGUAAGAAAAACAGAGUAAUAUGGCGAGGAAGAAGAUCAGAGAGUAUGAUUCAAAGAGGCUUCUAAGGGAGCAUUUGAAACGCCUUGCUGGCAUUGAUCUUCAGAUCUGCUCUGCUCAAGUGACAGAAUCUACAGAUUUUACUGAGUUAACAAACAAAGAACCAUGGCUUUCAUCGACAAAGCUGGUUGUAAAACCAGACAUGCUGUUUGGAAAGCGUGGAAAGAGUGGCUUGGUAGCUUUGAAUCUGGAUCUAGCAGGAGUUGCUGAGUUUGUAAAAACACGACUUGGUGUGGAGGUUGAAAUGGGUGGCUGCAAGGCACCUAUAACAACAUUUAUUGUUGAACCAUUUGUUCCCCAUGACCAAGAAUAUUACCUUUCCAUAGUCUCUGAAAGGUUGGGCUGCACAAUUAGCUUUUCAGAAUGUGGAGGCAUUGAGAUUGAAGAGAACUGGGACAAGGUCAAGACAAUAUUCCUUCCAACGGAGAAACCUAUGACCCUAGAGGCGUGUGCUCCACUGAUUGCUACUCUGCCCUUGGAGGUACGGGGAAAGAUUGGCAAUUUCCUUAUGGGUGUUUUUGAUGUGUUUCAAGAUCUCGAUUUUAGUUUCAUAGAGAUGAACCCAUUUACGCUUGUAAAUGGAGAGCCUUACCCAUUGGAUAUGAGAGGAGAGUUGGAUGACACAGCAGCCUUCAAAAAUUUUAAGAAGUGGGGAAGCAUCGAGUUUCCUCUGCCUUUUGGAAGAGUUUUGAGCCCUACCGAAAGCUUCAUUCACUCUUUGGAUGAGAAAACUAGUGCCUCUUUAAAAUUUACAGUUUUGAACCCAAAAGGUCGUAUCUGGACAAUGGUGGCUGGAGGUGGUGCAAGCGUUAUAUAUGCUGAUACAGUAGGGGAUUUAGGUUAUGCCUCUGAGCUUGGUAACUAUGCCGAGUAUAGUGGAGCUCCAAAUGAAGAGGAGGUUCUGCAAUAUGCUCGAGUAGUUCUAGAUUGUGCUACUGCAAAUCCUGAUGGGCGUAAGAGAGCUCUGAUUGUUGGAGGUGGUAUUGCCAACUUCACUGAUGUAGCUGCUACUUUCAAUGGGAUUAUUCGGGCUCUCAGGGAGAAGGAAGCCAAGCUAAAAGCGGCUAGAAUGCAUAUCUAUGUACGAAGAGGUGGUCCAAAUUAUCAGACUGGUCUAGCAAAAAUGCGCGCCCUAGGAGAGGAACUUGGAGUUCCCCUUGAGGUUUAUGGACCAGAGGCUACAAUGACGGGAAUUUGUAAAGGGGCAAUUGAUUGCAUUAUGUCUGAAGCAUAAGUGCCAAAUGAGAAAGAAGACUUGUGUUACAUUCUUGCAAUUAAGAAGAAACUUUGUUGGAUAUUUAAUUUGCCUUCUGAUAUUGUUUUGUUACAAAUGGGACCUUUAAAGAAUAAUUUGAGAUCCUUUUGUUUUACCU
rnacentral:misc_RNA from 1 species